UACAUACACCUGCCACACCCUCCUCAAGUGUCGAAUCCUCAUCGAAGGUGGAAUCUAGAAAAGGCCGGAACAUCUCGAGGAAUGUCCAUCACAAAACGGCUGUUCACUGGGAUAUUGAAGAACCUGAAGCCCAAGCUUCCACAUCCAGGGAGAAACCACAAAUUAAAAUCAAAGUGUUAGCUAAACGAGCUGACAGUGCAAGUUCAGAAGAAGAUGAGGAAAAGUCACCACUGAGGAGGGU